UACAUAGGGGGCGAGCGUUGUUCGGAAUUACUGGGCGUAAAGGGCGCGUAGGUGGCUUGCUAUGUCGAACGUGAAAUCCCCGGGCUCAACCCGGGAACUGCGUCGGAAACUGGCAGGCUCGAAUCCGGGAGAGGGAUGUGGAAUUCCUGGUGUAGCGGUGAAAUGCGCAGAUAUCAGGAGGAACACCGGUGGCGAAGGCGGGUCUCUGGGCCGAUACUGACGCUGAGGAGCGAAAGCGUGGGGAGCGAACAGG
rnacentral:rRNA from 1 species